rnacentral:rRNA from 1 species
UACGUAGGGUGCGAGCGUUGUCCGGAAUUAUUGGGCGUAAAGAGCUCGUAGGCGGUGUGUCGCGUCGGCCGUGAAAACCUGGGGCUCAACUCUGGGCGUGCGGUCGAUACGGGCAUCACUUGAGUUCGGCAGGGGAGACUGGAAUUCCUGGUGUAGCGGUGAAAUGCGCAGAUAUCAGGAGGAACACCGGUGGCGAAGGCGGGUCUCUGGGCCGUAACUGACGCUGAGGAGCGAAAGCAUGGGGAGCGAACAGG